rnacentral:rRNA from 1 species
UACGAAGGUCCCAAGCGUUAUCCGGAUUUAUUGGGUUUAAAGGGUGCGUAGGCGGCUUAUUAAGUCAGUGGUGAAAGCUCCAUGCUUAACAUGGAAAUUGCCAUUGAUACUGAUGAGCUUGAGUAUAUUUGAAGUGGGCGGAAUGUGUCGUGUAGCGGUGAAAUGCUUAGAUAUGACACAGAACACCGAUUGCGUAGGCAGCUCACUAAACUAUAACUGACGCUGAGGCACGAAAAGCAUGGGGGAUCAAACAGG